rnacentral:rRNA from 1 species
UACGAAGGGGGCUAGCGUUGUUCGGAAUCACUGGGCGUAAAGGGUGCGUAGGCGGGUCUUUUAAGUCAGGGGUGAAAUCCUGGAGCUCAACUCCAGAACUGCCUUUGAUACUGAGGAUCUUGAGUUCGGGAGAGGUGAGUGGAACUGCGAGUGUAGAGGUGAAAUUCGUAGAUAUUCGCAAGAACACCAGUGGCGAAGGCGGCUCACUGGCCCGAUACUGACGCUGAGGCACGGAAAGCGUGGGGAGCAAACAGGG